UGUGCCCAGAUGGGAUUAGCUAGUAGGUGGGGUAAUGGCUCACCUAGGCGACGAUCCCUAGCUGGUCUGAGAGGAUGACCAGCCACACUGGAACUGAGACACGGUCCAGACUCCUACGGGAGGCAGCAGUGGGGAAUAUUGCACAAUGGGCGCAAGCCUGAUGCAGCCAUGCCGCGUGUAUGAAGAAGGCCUUCGGGUUGUAAAGUACUUUCAGCGGGGAGGAAGGCGGUGAGGUUAAUAACCUUGUCGAUUGACGUUACCCGCAGAAGAAGCACCGGCUAACUCCGUGCCAGCAGCCGCGGUAAUACGGAGGGUGCAAGCGUUAAUCGGAAUUACUGGGCGUAAAGCGCACGCAGGCGGUCUGUUAAGUCAGAUGUGAAAUCCCCGGGC
rnacentral:rRNA from 1 species